UCUUCCUGUGUGGAAGCUGGGAUUCCAAUGGCAGGCAGGAAAUCUUGUAGUAGGUGAUCGUGGCCUUCCUUGGGAUCCCUGUUUCCCCCUUUUAUUCCCUUUUCACCCAGUAAAACCCUGCUUUGCUCACUCUUUAAAGCAUCUGUGAGCGUAAAUUUUUGUGGCCAUGGGAUGGACAAGAACCACAUGUUUACCUGAAGUCCUGUGACAUUUUGGUGUGCAGCAUGGGAGCUCCAAAAGUGGAUAAAGAAUGUUGCCAUUGAGAGGGCUCUAAUGGUGGAAUUACCUUCAACUAACAUUUACUGAGAGGAGGAGAGGCAACUGAGACAAGAAGUCAAGAGAUUUAAAGUCAGCAGUUCUCAAGGAAAAUGCUACCCUGGAAAGAAAAUAUAACCUUAAAGUCUGGCAACUGCUCUGGACUUUUUCCUGAGAUUUUCUUUCAAGAAUAAUUAGCUUUCGAAUUCUUAGACAAGAUAUAUUCUGAAAUAUAUCCAAAUCGCCAGACUUUAAAAGGUCAUUAACAAAUCCAAUGAAUGAGGGCAUAGUAAUGCAUUUAGAGAUCAAAAAUGGAGCAAGAAUUCAAGUAUAUAUUCAGCUUUCUGAAACCCCCUCUGUCUGCUCUAUCAACAAUCACCAAAAGGAGACUGAACAGGAACUGCCUAUCCAAUUCCUACACUGAGCACAAAACAAGGUAUUGGUGAAUGAAAUGAUUGCUUAGAAAACUGAAAGCACUCCUCUUUGACUGAAUACAGCUUGAUUUAUUCAUAGAUAAUGUUUUAAGAUAGGAGUUGUGUUAUUAUUGAUUUGUUGUUAUUGACAUAACCUACAUCAAGUAUAACAAUUUUCUAAAUAUUUCAGUGAUAUGAGAAAGUCUUAUUAACUAUUUGAUUUAUAAGAAUAUUUUAAAAACCAUGUAGAACUGCUAUAAGAUUUUUGCAAAAUUAUCGUGUCAGAAAUGGUACUAAGAUUUA
rnacentral:lncRNA from 1 species